rnacentral:rRNA from 1 species
UACGAAGGGGGCUAGCGUUGCUCGGAAUUACUGGGCGUAAAGCGCACGUAGGCGGUCUUUUAAGUCGGGGGUGGAAAUCCUGGAGCUCAACUCCAGAACUGCCUUUGAUACUGAAAGUCUUGAGUAUGGGAGAGGUGAGUGGAACUGCGAGUGUAGAGGUGAAAUUCGUAGAUAUUCGCAAGAACACCAGUGGCGAAGGCGGCUCACUGGCCCAUUACUGACGCUGAGGCACGAAAGCGUGGGGAGCAAACAGG